rnacentral:tRNA from 1 species
AGGCAGUUAGUAUAAGAAAAAUAUUUGAUUUCGACUCAAAAGCUUAUGGUUUGACUCCAUAGCUGCCAA